GGGGGGGGGGGGCAAGCGUUGUUCGGAAUUACUGGGCGUAAAGGGCGUGUAGGCGGUCCUGCAAGUCUUUCGUGAAAUCCCACAGCUCAACUGUGGAACUGCGAGGGAAACUGCAGGACUUGAGUCCGGGAGAGGAGAGUGGAAUUCCCAGUGUAGCGGUGAAAUGCGUAGAUAUUGGGAGGAACACCGGUGGCGAAGGCGGCUCUCUGGACCGGUACUGACGCUGAGGCGCGAAAGCUAGGGGAGCAAACGGGAUUAGAUACCCCGGUAGUCCUAGCCUUAAACGAUGAGCACUUGGUGUGGCGGGUAUCGACCCCUGCCGUGCCGAAGCUAACGCAUUAAGUGCUCCGCCUGGGGAGUACGGUCGCAAGGCUG
rnacentral:rRNA from 1 species